GCCUGUAGUCCCAGCUACUCAGGAGGCUGAGGUAGGAGGAUCGCUUGAGUCCAGGAGUUCUGGGCUGUUGUGCGCUAUGCCAAUCGGGCGUCCGCACUAAGUUCGGCAUCAAUAUGGUGACCUCCCAGGAGCGGGGAACCACCACGUUGCCUAAGGAGGGGUAAACUGCCCCAGGUCAAAAAUAGAGCAGGUCAAAACUUUCAUGCUGAUCAGUAGUGGGAUCGCAUCUGUGAAUAGCCACUGCACUCCAGCCUCGGCAACAUUGUGAGACCCCGUCUCU
rnacentral:SRP_RNA from 1 species